rnacentral:rRNA from 1 species
GACGUAGGGCGCGAGCGUUGUCCGGAUUUAUUGGGCGUAAAGAGCUCGUAGGCGGCUUGUUGCGUCGACCGUGAAAACCCGGGGCUCAACUUCGGGCUUGCGGUCGAUACGGGCGGGCUAGAGUUCGGUAGGGGAGACUGGAAUUCCUGGUGUAGCGGUGAAAUGCGUAGAUAUCAGGAGGAACACCGGCGGUGUAGACGGCUAUCUGGACAGCAACUGACGCUGAGACACGAAAGCGUGGGGAGCAAACAGG